rnacentral:rRNA from 1 species
CGCAAAGCUCAUUACAACAGCUAUAAUGUAUAUGAAUUUACUGAUAAAUGGAUAUCUGUGGUAAAUCUAGAGCUAAUACAUGCAUAAAAACCUUUUUGUUUUAACAAAUUGGUUAAAUUAUCGUUUCAAAACUAACGGGUUCGCCCUGUUUUGUUAACUCAUGAUAAUUAAUGACCGUUCUUUAAUGAAUGGAUAUUCAUAUUUGGUAUCUGCCCUAUCAACUAUAUGACAGUCUAUUGUACGGUCAUGGUUGUGCCGGGUAACGGAGAAUUAGGGUUCGUCUCCGGAGAGAAUGCCUUAGAAACGGCUUUCACUUCCAAGGAAGGCAGCAGGCGCGAAAAUUACCCAUUCUCAGAACGAGGAGGUAGUGACGUGAAAUGACAAGCUUUAAUUCUUACGAAUUGAAGCAUUGGAAUGGUUGAAUUUUAAAAUCAUUCAAGAUUAUCAAUGAGAGGGCAAGUCUGGUGCCAGCAGCCGCGGUAAUUCCAGCUCUCAUACUACAUUGAACUGCUGUUGCGGUUAAAAAGUUCGUAGUUGCAAAUGUACAUAUAAAUGUGGUUUAUCAUUUUAUUAUGGUAUAACUGCAUUUUGUGUUAUUUAUAUUUUCUUUACGGAAAAUAUAAUGAUACCCUGAGUAAAGCAAAGUGCUCAGAACAAGCUAUUGCUUGUAUGUUUUUGCUGGGAAUAUCAAACGAAUACAUUAGUUGACGUUUGUUGGUUUAACAGCUAUGUAAUGAUUAAUAGGGAUAAACGGGGGCAAACGUAUCGCAGGGGGAGAGGUGAAAUUCGUUGAUCCUUGCGAGACGGCCUAUAGCGAAAGCAUUUGCCAAGAAUGUUUUCUUUAAUCAAGAACGAAAGUCAGAGGUC